rnacentral:rRNA from 1 species
UCAUCGGCUCAGAACGUACGCCGGCGGCACGCCUAACACAUGCAAGUCGAACGCAGUAGCAAUACUGAGUAGGCAAACGGGUGAGUAUAAUAGUGGGAAUCUGCCUUUUGGUUUGGAAUAACACGGGGAAACUUGUGCUAAUACCGAAUAAGCCCUUACGGGGAAAGUUUUAACGCCGAAAGAUGAGCCUGCACUUGAUUAGCUAGUUGGUAAGGUAAAAGCUUACCAAGGCAACGAUCAAUAGCUGUUCUUAGAGGAAGACCAGCCACAUUGGGACUGAGACACGGCCCAGACUCCUACGGGAGGCAGCAGUGGGGAAUCUUGCACAAUGGGGGAAACCCUGAUGCAGCGAUGCCGCGUGAGUGAAGAAGGCCUUUGGGUUGUAAAACUCUUUCGUCGGGGAAGAAAAUGACUGUACCCGAAUAAGAAGGUCCGGCUAACUUCGUG